rnacentral:rRNA from 1 species
UAUGUGAUCGUCUCUCGCAUAUCAAUAAGCGGAGGAAAAGAAACUAACAAGGAUUCCCCUAGUAACGGCGAGUGAAGCGGGAAGAGCUCAAAUUUGAAAUCUUAAAGGGUUUCCCUUUACGAAUUGUAGUUUAAAGAAGUGUUUUCUGUUGAGGUUUUGGUAAAAGUUCUUUGGAAUAGGACAUCAUAGAGGGUGAGAAUCCCGUAUUUGACCUUUACUUUCAACUUUGUGAUACACUUUCAAAGAGUCGGAUUGUUUGGGAAUGCAGUCCAAAAUGGGUGGUAAAUUUCAUCUAAAGCUAAAUAUUGGCGAGAGACCGAUAGCGAACAAGUACCGUGAGGGGAAAGAUGAAAAGAACUUUGAAAAGAGAGUUAAACAGUACGUGAAAUUGUCAAAAGGGAAGCGUUUGACACCAGUGUUGUUUUUCUGAAAAUCAAUUAAAGAACUGUUUAUGCUAAGCUGUUUAGACUUUAUCAGCUAAUCUGUUUAGUUUUGAGCUUUUCUUUAAUGCACUUUUCAGUUAACAAGUCAACAUCAAUUUCUUUUGCUGUAAAAAAGCUUGAGGAAGGUGGCUUGAGAUUCGUCUUAAGUGUUUAUAGCCUCUUGCCUAUGCAGUCGGAGAGAUUGAGGUCUGCAGCGUAGAUCCUUCGGGGCUAAAUGCAUUUGUGCUAAGUUAUAGCAUUUUAUAGACAACUUGUUGACUAUGAUUUGUCUUGUAGCUUACUCGCUUAUGUUAUUUUACCUACGCUUAGGAUGUUGAUCUACAGAGCGAGAGU